rnacentral:lncRNA from 1 species
UCUUACAACCUCCACUUCUUAUGAAAUUUCGCCCUGGAAAUUAGGGUACAUAUCUGGUAUGACGAAGAGGUGAGAAUACCUUGAUCUCAUUUCAGAUUCUAACUCCCAGGUCAUUUCCUCAACAUCGUGGUUUCUCCGCAAAACUUUGACUUGAGGUAUAACCUUGGAGCGUAGAAUAUGUUCCUUCUUAUCCAAGAUUUUAACAAGAACCUCUUCAUAUGUUAAAUCUUC